rnacentral:rRNA from 1 species
UCGAGAAUUUUUCACAAUGGGCGAAAGCCUGAUGGAGCGACGCCGCGUGGGGGAUGAAUGGCUUCGGCCCGUAAACCCCUGUCAUUUGCGACUAAACUCUGGAAUUGAACAGAUUCCAGACUGAAAGUAGCGAAAGAGGAAGGGACGGCUAACUCUGUGCCAGCAGCCGCGGUAAUACAGAGGUCCCAAGCGUUGUUCGGAUUUACUGGGCGUAAAGGGUGCGUAGGUGGUAGGGUAAGUUCAAUGUGAAAGCUUCGGGCUCAACCCGAAAAUUGCAUCGAAUACUAUCCUGCUGGAGGGUCGGAUGGGAGACUGGAAUUCUCGGUGUAGCAGUGAAAUGCGUAGAUAUCGAGAGGAACACCUGUGGCGAAGGCGAGUCUCUGGACGAUUCCUGACACUG